ensembl:lncRNA
GGGCUGAAGUCGCGGCAGUUUCGCUCCUUGGGAAGAGGAGCGCGGUGCCGGGAGCGGCGCUUUGCCGCUGUUCGGUAUUUUUCUAGCGGAAAAAAAAAAAAAAAAAGAAAGAAAGAAAGAAAGAAAGGAAGGAAGGAAGGAUGAGAGAAAGAAAGAAAGAACGAAAGAAAGAGAAGAAAAAAAGGAACAAAAAAAAUAAAUAAAAGGACUGCAGAAGCAAAAGAAAAGGGGGAAAAAAAGGGGGUGAGGAAAGGGAGAGAGCAUACUUACUCCGUGCAAAGGCGACGAAACUGAGCCUCUUUUUUUUUUGCCGCUGGACAGAGCGAGGCGGCCCGGCACAUGCACACCGCACGCGCACACACACACACACACGCACACACUCACUCGCACACACGCACAGACACACGCGCGCGCACACACACGCGCGCACGCACGCGCGGCCGCUGAAUAUUGACGCCGGGAUCCGCGUAAAGGUGAAGCCGGGCGGUGCCGAUAGUACAUACACAGCAGCCCCUGACAGCGCCUUGUCACUUGCGCGGCUCAGCGUCGCUUCGAGCGCUGUCGAGGAAACGCAGUCACCCAAUGAGGAGCGAAGGGAAACUGAGGCACGGGCUGUCCCGGGGGCACGCAGCCCCCCCGGCCCCACCUCGCUCUGCAGGCCCCUACUUCGGAUCAACUCAUUAUCCCGAAUAAACGAUGUGUCAUUCCCAUUAUUUAUGUUUCACUGCAGCCAAAGUAUCUGGACCUCGUUUUG